GACGAACGCUGGCGGCGUGCUUAACACAUGCAAGUGGAGCGACGAACCGGGGCUUGCCCCGGGGCAGAGCCGCGAACGGGUGAGUAACACGUGGGUAACCUGCCUCAAUGAUUGGGACAACCCCGGGGAAACUCGGGCUAAUACCAAAUGUGUUCACUCCUUCUAAGGGGAGUGAGGAAAGGAAGCUUCGGCCUCCGCAUUGAGAUGGGCCCGCGGCCCAUUAGCUUGUUGGUGAGGUAACGGCUCGACCAAGGCUUCGAUGGGUAGCUGGUCUGAGAGGACGAUCAGCCACACUGGGACUGAGACACGGCCCAGACUCCUACGGAGGCAGCAGUGGGGAAUCUUGCACAAUGCGCGAAAGCGUGAUGCAGCAACGCCGCGUGGGGGAAGACGG
rnacentral:rRNA from 1 species